rnacentral:misc_RNA from 1 species
AAGAAAUCAGUGUUUUCCUUUGGCUUACCAAAAACAUUUGCAGCUUCUCCAUAGGCAGCAUCUGCAGGGGAAACCUUGGAACCAAUGGCAGCAGUACCAAUGAGGAGAGUAAGAGCCAAUCGUCUCGAGACGGCGGCGUUGCUGGCAUCAUCUUGCUUUUGUGCACGGCAAAUCAAUUGGUUAGGCUUAGGAGAUGAAACAGAGGAUGUUCUAGCAGGGCUAGAUCUUAGUGCAUGAUAUUGGUGCAAGAAACAUUGUGUGGAAGCAGCCAUUGCUCAAUUACUCUCUUUGGUUUGGUUUUGGGAAUGGAUUUUCCAAUUCUUUGUUACAAUGGUGAUGUUGGAGGGUCAAUAUGUUUUAGAUAAUUUUGUGAUGUGUGAAGGGAAAUUGGCUUAGUUUUUGGAUGUGGGGAAAGAUUAGAUUUAUGAUGUGGGAUAAGGUUUUUG